UUCCUCUCGUCAGACUUUCAAACGGCACUGAAAUGGUGGACAUGAGUGUGAACUUUAGGCUUUCAGCAGGCUCAUACAAAGACUCCUGUGGAAAAUGGGAAAAUGCUCUAAAGCUGCCAUUGACCAUUCCAAGCACCAGUGAUGGAACCAAAAGGUGCUUCCACAUCAGAGAAGACUGCCGUACCCUGAGGUCCCACAAAGGACGUGCCAGUGGCAGAAGACAGCAGCUUGCCUGCUUCUGGUCAAUUCCUAAAGGCUGCCUGUGUAUCCCUGGGACUGGCAAAGACCUGAAGUGAAGUGUGUGUUCUGCAAGAUACAGUUUCCAUCCAGAUUGAUUUCUGGAAAAGCUGGCUUUACCUGAGCAAUAUUCAGAAAUCUGGGAAAUCUGGGAGAUUCAGAAAUCUGUGUGCUGCAUCCACGGUACAAGCUUGAGGAAAAUCUCCAUGGAGAAUUCCAAAGAGGAGAGCACUGGGAAGAAAGUCCUGGAACCUUCCACCCAAAGCGACAGGACUCCGUGAAAGAGCCGAUGGAGCUGCUCUGCAGCUGUGUCCGUGCCACAUUUGCUGGCAGAGCCCCAGCAAGGCAGAGCAGACCCCACCAGCUGGCUGGGACCGUGAUUUCUCCCCUAUGGUGUGACCUCACAUCCUAAAGACGUGCCUGACAAUGGGAUAGGUCGUUGUGCUGACACAGGCACCAGGAAAGGAGAUGCUUGAAGGACCCGCGAAAGAGGCAACAGCUGUAGAUAAACACACAGACAGGCUUGAUGUCAACAGGAACUGCUGAUGGCCAAGCACUUCUGAAAAUUUGGUAUGCUGCAGUAAGAUGGUGCCAGCCUCUCUGGAAAAUCAGGACUUCAUUGUGAGGGCAGAGCACUUCUGAAAAUGCAGCCUGCAGAACUGGUGCAGAUGGUCUGGCCCCCUCUCAGCAGGCACAGAUCACAAUAUCAAGGGCAGCAAGUGGGAUUGGGAUCGUGCCUUGUGGAGGACAAGAGGCAGACACGAGCUGGCAAAGCAGAGGCUGUCAGGUGCAGCAGCUGUCCCAACAGGCACGUUUGCCAUGUCAUGAUGCCAUGUCUCUCUCUGAUCCAAGUGCUGAACUCUAAUUGUAUUUGCAAUGUGUUGAUUACCAUGGUCAAUUUUGUAUUUUUAUUUGAGAGUUGUGUGUUUCUGUUGUUUGAAAUUGUGCCAGCUGCUGGCUGAGAAGGUGAACUAAAAACUCAGAAUCAA